ACGUUCGGGUAAUCGCUGUUGCUUUACGCAGCAGAGGAAAGUCCAUGCUCGCACGAGCUGAGAUGCUCGUAGUGUUCGUGCCUAGUGAAACGAUAAGCUAGGGCAGCCUCGCAUUAGGCUGACGGCUGGGAAAAUACCUAAGUCCAUAUGGAUAUGGUAUGAAUACCUAUAAAAGUGCCACAGUGACGAGAGCCUUUCCAGAAAUGGAAGGGGUGGAACGGGUAAACCCCACGAGCGAGAAACCCAAAUGAUGGUAGGGGCGCUUUCUCUGAGGAAUUCAACAAGGAGAAGGACAGAUUCUUCUUAGAAUCUGUAGAUAGAUGAUUACCGCCUUUGUACGAGACAUUAGUCGUUUGCAGUACAUAGGCACAAAACAUGGCUUACAGAA
rnacentral:RNase_P_RNA from 1 species